UGCACUAGGAGCCAACUCAUGCAGUAUCAGUAUGUGGGGCCUCAGUACGGGUACCACUCUCAUCGUUAGUGGCCCUAGUAGUGACCAGGGCACUCAAAUCAGUAGUACCACCGGUAGUGACUAGUGCACUCACUGGUGGCUCAGAUAGCGGAGCUAGACUACUGAUUAAAUCAACAACAUCUAUAGGUCGGGAACUACCAGCCCCCGCC
rnacentral:lncRNA from 1 species